AACGCACAUUGCGCCCCUUGGUAUUCCGGGGGGCAUGCCUGUUCGAGCGUCAUUUAUACCAAUCUAGCCUGGCUAGGUGUUGGGCCUCGCCGUCUGGCGGGCCUUAAAACUAGUGGCGGUGCUCUUCAGCUCUACGCGUAGUAAUUUUCUCGCUAUAGGGUCUGGGGAGAUGCUUGCCAGCAACCCCAAAUUUUUCUAGGUUGACCUCGGAUCAGGUAGGGAUACCCGCUGAACUUAA
rnacentral:misc_RNA from 1 species